GCAAGCGAAAGGUCCUGACUUCGAUCCCCAGUACCCCCCAAAAAAACAAAACAAAACAGUUGAUGUGGCUGAUCUGUCUUGGGCGGUUGGGGGGGGGGUCCCUUCCUCUCUCAUUGGUCCAUGUGUAUCCCUCACGAAACUGUGUGCUUGGUGGAAGAGAACGACCCUCCCUGAUAGAAGAGGGCUAUUCUUCCAUCAAGGGUACAGGAGCAGCUGAGCUGCAUGGCUGGAAUCUCCAAACAAGCUCUCAGGGACCAGGGCAGGUGUACUUUCAGUUUCUGAGUCCUCAAGGUCAUU
rnacentral:sRNA from 1 species